rnacentral:rRNA from 1 species
UACGGAGGGGGCUAGCGUUGUUCGGAAUUACUGGGCGUAAAGCGCGCGUAGGCGGCUUUGCAAGUCAGAGGUGAAAGCCUGGAGCUCAACCCCAGAACUGCCUUUGAAACUGCAUCGCUAGAAUCAUGGAGAGGUUAGUGGAAUUCCGAGUGUAGAGGUGAAAUUCGUAGAUAUUCGCAAGAACACCAGUGGCGAAGGCGGCUCACUGGCCCGGUACUGACGCUGAGGUGCGAAAGCGUGGGGAGCAAACAGG